CAUCGCCUCUUGAUUAAAUAUAAGAGGUCCAGCCUGCCCAGUGACAUAGUUUAACGGCCGCGGUACCCUAACCGUGCGAAGGUAGCAUAAUCACUUGUUCCUUAAAUAGGGACUCGUAUCAACGGCAUCACGAGGGCUGUACUGUCUCCUUUCUCCAAUCAGUGAAACUGAUCUCCCCGUGAAGAAGCGGGGAUAAGCCUAUAAGACGAGAAGACCCCAUGGAGCUUUAAACCCAUCACGCACCUCUACGCACUAAAAACAAUAAAGCCUAAGAGGCUUGUGUGCUGGUUUUAGGUUGGGGUGACCAAGGAGUAAAAUCAAACCUCCACGACAGACGGACUAAUAUCCUUAUCCACGAACCACAAUUCUAAGAGCCAAUAAAUUGUUGUCUAAUGACCCAAUUACUUGAUCAACGAACCAAGUUACCCUGGGGAUAACAGCGCAAUCUACUUCAAGAGCCCCUAUCGACAAGUAGGUUUACGACCUCGAUGUUGGAUCAGGGUGUCCUAGUGGUGCAACCGCUGCUAAAGG
rnacentral:rRNA from 1 species